CAGGUGCUUUAUAAAUGCCUAUGAUUAUCUGCUGAAACUUAAAAUGGAAAGGAAAACUGUUAUUUAAGUAAAAUUAGCAUGAAAUGGUGGCAUAUUAAUGGAAGUGCUCAUCAUAUUCUUAUUUUUGCAAGACAUGAUUUGAUAACAAUAUAUUUUCACACAGCUGUAUUUUGUUCAGAAGUCUAUUUGUACAAGUAGUACAGUGUGUAGAUGACAAAUGAUGAGAUAUUUAAGUAAUAAGAACUACUACAUAUGACCUGACUCCUGUGUAUAUCUAGUCCAGUAUCCUAUCUUUGCCACUGAUGAAUAUCAGGUGCUUUGCGGAAUGUGUAAGAACGUUCAUAACUGAUAAUGUUGGAAGACCUUAUCCACAGGAGAUGUUUUGUUCGAACUCAUGCCAACCAUCAGCCAAAAGAUGUCCUAAAGCGGGUUUAUAGCUCUGAUUUUUUCUAAAGUAAAUCUAGUGUAACUGUUCUCUCUCAUUAGGCUCCUCUCUAGAGUGAAGUUCCCCAGUGUCUUAUAUGCAUGUAAAUUCCUCCUUUUUACACCAUCAUCUCAUCCAUACAGCGAGACCCUGAAGUUCCUGUCAAACUUUCUCUUCUUCGGGCACCAGAAGCACUUUAGAGAAAGCUAUCAUAGAGGCCUGACUCUGUACAGGCCUUUCUCCUAAUUAGUUGAAUGUAGGCUCCAAGACCCUGCCUCUCCCUAAUAUGUACCAUGACCACAGAUUCCUCUUGAGCUCUCACUAGCAAUUCACCUAGAUGUCUCAACACAUUUUCUUGGUCAGUAUCAUCACAAGCUAUCCAUCUUAAACAGCAUCCUUAUCUCUUGGCGGGCAUGACCAGUUUAUUAGAAGGGAUGUCCAUGAAAGAGAGGGAGAAGUUGCUGUUUGAGAUGGGAGGUGGAAUAACAGGCUGGCAUCCCCCAGACUGAGCCCCACUUACUUAAGAUUUUGGGGUUUUUUUUUGAUAAACUAGACGUGCUGGGGGCAAUGGACCCCAUCUUGGCUUUCAUUCCAGUAAUGUCAGUGAAUAUGGGGUAUAGUGUACAUUUUGGCUUUUUGUGAAUACUCACAGCAAUUCAGUGCUGGCUUCUUUGCUAGCCUUGUCAACAUGAGUAUGUGCGAACUGUAGAGCUGUCUAACCUCUGCAAUCGUGAUGAAGCAACUGCAAAUUGGAAAAAAACCCUCUUUAGAAUAACGAAGAAAAUUAAUUAAUAUAUUUUCCCUCCCUGAAAAUGUGACUGUUAAAUUACUAUGUAGCUCAUUCUGUCCAACCUUCUGGGUUUGGUCAGGUCUGUACAACUCAUUUAGUGUUGCUACAUGUCUGAGGUACUGUUGAAAAUCUGACUGCUUCAGGAAAAAUAAGAGGUUUUCCAACUUACUGAUGCCAUUAUUAUUGUUAAUACAGCAUCACAGGUGUGCACUACAGUUUAUAACAAAAUAAUGUUCAUAUCACAGUAAGGUGGGAAGUAUGGUCCUGGAGCCUGGCUUAAUGGACACAGAACUGGGAGGCAGGUAGCCCUGAGCUCAACUGUCAUGUCAGCAACAGACUCCCUACCCUAGGUGACCUUGGCAAGUCACUUAAUCUACUCCAUGCUUUAGUUCCCUAGCUGUAAAAUGGGAAUAAUACUUUCCAACCUCACAGUGGUACUAGGAGGAUAAAAUCCAUUAAAGAAUGUGCGGUGUUCAGAUCCAGUGGUGAUUAGGGUUAUGUAAGUACCUACUUAGAUAGUACCUUUAUUCAUAGCUGGAAACCACCUUUGAAAUUGAUCCCUUCUACCCUAGGACUUUGCACUAGUACUAAAAAGUACAGAAUAGAGAAAAGCAUGAACAUGAGCAGUGCAGUCAAUGGAAUUAGUGAUGCGGCUUAGUGCUAAUUGCCCAAGUUCAUGUUAAGUACCAAAGCACUUCAUACCAUCAGUUGUCAUUUUUCGUGACUGCCCCGAUGUUGUAGUUAAUCUGAAUCCCGCUGGAAGUGUUUCUGAGGAGCCAGGCAUCAUGCUGAUUCCAUGGACCUCACGUGGAGGAAACUGUCUUCGCCAGGAAGGGCCACGUCUGAAGUUCUUGUCAUCGCUCUGCCAAUACAAAUGUUUGUGUUUGAUAAAACUAAAUUAAAUUCGUGAUUAGUUUUCUGGAUGGUU